UAAGUACCUGAAGGAAGAGAAAGAAAUUCGAUUCCGUAAGUAGCGGCGAGCGAACGCGGAUUAGCCCAAACCAAUAAAGUUUUCUUUAUUGGGGUUGCGGACAUAUCAUAACGAAGAGGUAUCGUAAUUGAAGAGGUUUGGAAAGACCCACCACAGAAGGUAAUAGUCCUGUAUGUUAAACGAGAAGACUUCAGAUAUGAUCCAGAGUACCACGGGACACGUGAAACCCUGUGGGAAGCAGGAGGGACCACCCUCCAAGGCUAAAUACUACCUAGUGACCGAUAGCGUAUAGUACCGUGAGGGAAAGGUGAAAAGAACCCCGGGAGGGGAGUGAAAUAGAACCUGAAACCCUGCACUUACAAGCUGUGGAAGCACAUUUCUUGUGUGACCGCGUACUUUUUGUAGAACGGGCCAACGAGUUACGUUAAGUAGCAAGGUUAAGCACUUAAGGUGUGGAGCCGUAGCGAAAGCGAGUUUUAACUGAGCGUUCAGUUACUUGACGUAGACCCGAAACCGGGCGACCUACCCAUGAGCAGGAUGAAGCGAAAGUAAAAUUUCGUGGAGGUCCGAACCCACGAGCGUUGAAAAGCUCGGGGAUGACUUGUGGGUAGCGGUGAAAUUCCAAUCGAGCCCGGAGAUAGCUGGUUCUCCCCGAAAUAGCUUUAGGGCUAGCCUCAAGGUGAGAGAUACGGAGGUAGAGCACUGAAUGUCCUAGGGGGUAUUGCACCUACCGAAGACUAUCAAACUCCGAAUGCCGUCAUCUUAUACUUGGGAGUCAGACUGUGGGUGAUAAGAUUCAUAGUCGAAAGGGCAACAGCCCAGAUCGUCAGCUAAGGUCCCUAAAUGUAAGUUAAGUGGUAAAGGAUGUGGGAUUGCACAGACAACCAGGAUGUUGGCUUAGAAGCAGCCACUCAUUCAAAGAGUGCGUAAUAGCUCACUGGUCGAGUGAUCCUGCGCCGAAGAUUUCCGGGGCUAAAACUUACUACCGAAGCUACGGCAUCAGUAAUGAUGGGUAGGGGAGCUUCCCAUACGGGUUGAAGCAUGACCGUAAGGACAUGUGGACAGUAUGGGAGUGAGAAUGUUGGCAUGAGUAGCGAGAUGUGGGUGAGAAUCCCACAGGCCGUAAACCCAAGGUUUCCAGGGGAAGGUUCGUCCGCCCUGGGUUAGUCGGGACCUAAGCUGAGGCCGAAAGGCGUAGGUGAUGGACAACAGGUUGAUAUUCCUGUACUACCGAUAACCGUUUGAGAGAAGGGAUGACACAGUAGGAUAAGCUAAGCACACUGUUGGUUAUGUGUGCCCAAGCAUUGAGGCAGUCAAAGUAGGCAAAUCCGCUUUGAUAAUGCUGGGAUGUGAUGGGGAGCGAAAUUUAGUAGCGAAGUAGCUGAUUUCACACUGUCAAGAAAAGUCUCUAUCGAGGUUAAAGGUACCCGUACCGCAAACCGACACAGGUGGGUGAGGAGAGUAUCCUAAGGCCAGCGAGAGAACUGUUGUUAAGGAACUCGGCAAAAUGACCCCGUAACUUAGGGAUAAGGGGUGCCACCAUCAGGUGGCCGCAGAGAAUAGGCCCAAGCGACUGUUUACCAAAAACAUAGGUUUCUGCUAAGUCGCAAGACGAUGUAUAGGAGCUGACGCCUGCCCGGUGCUGGAAGGUUAAGGGGAUCUGUUAGAGCAAUCGAAGCAGUGAACUUAAGCCCCAGUAAACGGCGGCCGUAACUAUAACGGUCCUAAGGUAGCGAAAUUCCUUGUCGGGUAAGUUCCGACCCGCACGAAAGGCGUAACGAUUUGGGCACUGUCUCAACAACAGACUCGGUGAAAUUGUAAUUCCGGUGAAGAUGCCGGAUACCUGCGACAGGACGGAAAGACCCCAUGGAGCUUUACUGUAGCUUGACAUUGGGUUUUGGUACUACAUGUACAGGAUAGGUGGGAGGCUUUGAAACCAGGACGCCAGUUUUGGCGGAGCCAUCCUUGGGAUACCACCCUUGUAGUACUGGGACUCUAACCAUAGGCCAUGAAUCUGGUCUUGGGACACUGUCAGGUGGGCAGUUUGACUGGGGCGGUCGCCUCCCAAAAGGUAACGGAGGCGCUCAAAGGUUCUCUCAGUACGGUCGGAAAUCGUACGUAGAGUGUAAAGGCAAAAGAGAGCUUGAUUGCAAGACAUACAGGUCGAGCAAGGAUGAAAAUCGGACUUAGUGAUCCGGUGGUUCUGCGUGGAAGGGCCAUCGCUCAACGGAUAAAAGCUACCCUGGGGAUAACAGGCUUAUCUCCCCCAAGAGUCCACAUCGACGGGGAGGUUUGGCACCUCGAUGUCGGCUCAUCACAUCCUGGGGCUGUAGUAGGUCCCAAGGGUUGGGCUGUUCGCCCAUUAAAGUGGUACGCGAGCUGGGUUCAGAACGUCGUGAGACAGUUCGGUCCCUAUCCGUCGCAGGCGUAGGAAAUUUGAGAAGACCUGUCCUUAGUACGAGAGGACCGGGAUGGACGUACCUCUGGUGUACCAGUUGUUCUGCCAAGGGCAUGGCUGGGUAGCUAUGUACGGAAUGGAUAAGCGCUGAAAGCAUCUAAGCGCGAAGCCAACUUCAAGAUAAGAUUUCCCACCGCAAGGGUAAGACCCCAGAAAGACUAUCUGGUUGAUAGGUCGAAGGUGUAAGUGCAGCAAUGUAUUUAGCUUAUCGAUACUAAUAGGUCGAGGACUUGACCAA
rnacentral:rRNA from 1 species